CGCCCCACCGGCGGCGGGAGGGGGCGGCAGGGGGUGAACGGGCCCAGAACGGGCUGAGGGCAACGGGGCUGGCUCGGGCCCGGGGGCCGCGUCCCUCCGGUGGGGGCACCGGGGGGCGGCGGAGGGGACGGGACUGGGACCGGGACCGGGACCGGGCCGCAGGGGGGGCACGGGGAAGGCCCCUCACAACCAGGCCCAGCGGGCCCCGGCCUCGUAGGGCCCGGCCAGGCGCGGUGGGGCCCGGCCCGGUUCCCCCCCCCCCUCCCCCGGGCCGGUCCCGGUCCCGGUUCCGGUCCCGGUUCCGGGGGCGGGGCGAGGCGGGGCCGCGCCAACCAAUGGGAUCGCGCCGCGGCCCUGUUGCCUUGGCGACCGCGGGCUGCCCGGCCGAGGGGCCGCUCCCAUUGGCUGCCGCCUCGGCGCGGGCCCGGCGCAGGGCGCGAUCCCAUUGGCUGCGGCGCCGCCCGCUGUUGCCAUGGCGACAGCGCCCGAGCGCGGCCUAGGCCCGGCCCCGAACCCUGAGGCCUGGCCCGGGGGCGAGCAGCGGGCACCGGGCACCGGGAACGACCCUGAGGGGGGCUGGGGGGAGCCCCGCGGGGUCAGGCGGAGCCGCAGGGCCCGGUCUCGGUGCUGGGGGCACGAGUGUCCCGUGUGGAAGCGGGGAUGGAGCCAAGAGGCCUGGUCCCGGGGGGGCUGAGGGGAGCGUUACAUUUAUGUCGAGUAAAAAAACACCCCUGCCUUCAAAGAAACCGGUGUCCCAAGAGAAAUACAGAAGUUUUACCGAGAAGUCAGCGCUCAAGGAGGCUGAAAUAGCUGAGGCGUUGGAAGAGAUCAAAAUCACCACGGAUCUGACCCAGCAGAAGAUAAAUGCCAUAGAGGAGCUGAAGCAGCGCAGCGCCCGCCUGGAAGAGGCCAACUGCCGGCUGAUGAAGGACAUCCAGCACACCGAUGCCAGCACUGCCAAGCGAGCCAGAGACCUGCUGCAGCAGUACGAACAGUUUCAGAUGGUCAAGGCAACGGCGCAGACCGCCAGUCAGAAGAGACUGGACACAGCGAGGGCAGAGCUGCAGGAAAUGGAAAAAACAAUGGAAAAGAAUCUGGGAGAGCUACAGCAGCAGUUGGAUGAAGCCACAUCCAACGUACAGGUUCUCCAGGAUGAGCUCAGCGUCCUGCGGACCUACACGGACGUGCAUUAUCCCAAACAGGCUCUCCAGAUUGUCCUCCUUCUCUCCGACAUCCAGAACCUGAAGAAGCAGCAGCAGGUGCUGAGACCUCUCCUCCUCUGUAGCAUUGCUCUGGGGACUGGAGAGGGCAGGGGAGGAAGGAACAGGAGCUCAGUGUUUGUCCUGCUUAACGCUCCUGCUGUUCCUGUGCGCUGCCUCCUGCCGCCCUCAGGAUGAGAUAGACAAGACAGAAGAAAUGGGGAAGGCCGUCCUGGAGGAACUGGAAGAGAAAACACGGCAAGAACAAGAGGAGCUGCUGCAGCAAGUCGUGGAGGUAGGUGGUGGAACUACUCCGCCGUCUCGGCAG
rnacentral:lncRNA from 1 species